CUGGGAGCAGAGCUGGUCCCUUUUCCUGCAGGGUCACAGGGAUUCCUAGAAUUCAGCAGUAGGAGGCAGCAGAUGUGGAGAGCAGCUUCUUAAAAGCAACAACGCGGACUCCAAAGCGGAGUUUUGGCCAGAAAAAAACAAAAAGAGAGAGAGAGAUAAAAAAUCCCUCCCAACUCCGACAUAACUCCUGUGUCAUGAACUUCCUUGCCCUGUUCGGACACUUCUCCUCCUACAGACGUUGUCCUGAUUCUCCGAGCGGCAUGGGGGACAGAAAAGCCAGGAGCAAAAUUCGGGGAACCCUUCUGUGGUGUGGUUGUGCCUUGCUUGGCACUUUACUCUUGGUUUUCCUCGGUUUAUACGUUUCAGAGCAUUUCUCAGGCUCGGCGAACAGGUGGCGGGACUGCGAACAGGCCCUCUCAAACCAGACCUCUCAAAUGCAGGAACAGGUCCGAUUAUUCAGGGCCGACAUGAAAGCCAUGGAGAUAAACCAGGAGAAGUCCAGAAGGGAAAACAACAGGCUCACUGCCCAGUUGGAGGCCACCAACAACAGCCUUGCAGAAGCCAAAGGCCACUGGGACGCUUGCCUGGACCAAGCGGAGUUCUUAAAGCACAACUUCACAUCGCAGAUGGUGGAUGCUGAACAGGAAAGAGAGGUGCGCAAAGCCACCGAAGAAAAAGUGAAACAGCUUCAAGCAGAGCUGCAGACCAAAUCCCAGGACUUAGACAACAUGCAAAGACAGCUGCAACAAGAACGGGAGCAGUAUGAAGCCAAGAUCCAGGUGCUGAAGGCCGACCGCCACACCCAGCAACCAAACUUUUCUAACCAGGGCGUGGUUGGUGUUCCUUCCGCCACGUUUCUUCUGUUCGCUUUCGCCAUCUUUCUGGUUUUCUUCCACCAGUAGAUGUUUGAAUCCCUCUGCAGUUGGAACCAAAACCUACUGAGCCUUCCUUUUGCAAUAAAAUUAUUGGAGGGGGGAAAAAAUGGGCA
rnacentral:lncRNA from 1 species